GCUAGGGGAGCGAGCCGCCCACUCACCGCUGGAUACAACCGGCUAAUUAUAUCACCCAGAGACCCGGGGCGGCAGCGUGUGGGCAUUUUUUCAGCUGACCCAGCCUGUUUCUACUUGCUCUGCACGAUUGUUCUUGAUUUUUCAAAAUAAUAAUAACCACUGCUAACCAGGAAAAAAAUCGCCCGGGGCUGCGGAGCCGGCUCCUGAAGCCAGAGCCCUGGGCCACCUGCUGCUCCCGGAGGGAGAGACGUACUCAGCGUUCCUAGUUUACAAAACUGAGAGCAAGUGUCUGGACUCCCAAACCGGGGCUCCGUGGUCCAAGUGGCUCUGAGGACAGGAUACGCUGGAAGCAGCAGAAUCAGAAAGACAAAUAUUGUUCUGACGGCGCCCACCACGGUUCUGUAUAGGAUGACUCAUAAUCCCGGUUUGAACACUGAAAGUUCCAGCUCUGCUCAACGAACCCUGUCAGUCCCAGGAAAACAGGACGAUAACAGAAUAAACCACCACCACAAAUGUCUUCACAUCCUUUUAGGUCUGGUUUUGCUACCACGCAAAUUUGCCACAAACCAAAGAAAAGACUUGAUUUUCAGAGCUUUUGGAUUUGGGGAUUGUGGAAGAGGGACUGUGGACCUGUAAGCAACCAAGAGAAAUCUGAAGAAGACUAUCGCUUUUAUGAAAAAGAGGCUAAAAGUGAAAACAGCGCUCUGUUCUGCAACCUGUGGUCACAGAGGCCGCAGCGAGGAAGCAGCGAGAAUGGCGCCACCAAGCUCCUUCCCUGGGAACUACACUCAGCUGCUCAGCAUCGAGCCAUCCUAGCUUUGAACUGUGAACGUCUGUGCCUUAUCUCAAUUUAUUUUGUGAAUCCACUAGCAAGAUGUGUCCUAAUAUCAUAGAAAAGCCUAAGAGAGGUUCAUCUGGGGGGUCUGGGAACCCUAAAAAAAGUUUCUAUAUAAGUUCGUGGAAGUUGCUUCUUUGCUUUAUGCCAUUUCAGUUUAUAAAAGUUUGAAUUAAAACUCUCUACUUUCUCGGUAUAUAUACAGAGACGGGCAGACACAGAGAGGUUGAUUGUAAGGUAUUGGGGUUUUAUGCUUUUGAGGAACUGUCGAGUCCACAACGUAGGGCAGGCUGGCAAUUUCAGUAAGAGUCCAUUUACAGUCUCAACAGUUGGAAGGCCCUCCAGAGGCUGAAUUCCUUUCUUAGAGUGGGGGUGGGAGCCUCGAUCUUUUCUCUUAGGUCUUCAGCUGACUGGAGGAGUCCCCGCUCCCCUGCCACACUAAAGAGGAUAAUCAUCUUUACUCAAAGUCUAUUGAUGUAAAUGUUAAUCACAUCUAAAGAUUUUAUUUAUUCUAAGAAAGAGUGUUUACAAGCAGAGGGAGGGGCAGAGGGGGAGAGAGAGAAUCUCGAGCAGACUCCUCACUGAGCACAGAGCCUACCAUGGGACUUGAUCUCACCAUCUGAGAUCAUGACAUGAGCUGAAAUCAAGAGUCAAACUGUUCACCCACGGAACCAUCCAGGCACCACAAAUGGUAAUCGUGUUUAAAAGAUACCUUCUCAGCAACAUCUAGACUGCUGUUGGACCAAACAGGCGGCUACUGAGUUGAUACAAAAUUAAACAUCGUUCCUAUUUAUUAACCCAACUCUUCAGCUUUGAGUGUUUGUCCGGGAUGCUAUGUGAAAGUCCCCACCUUCCCAGAGUUAACAGUCACAGAGGAGAUAAAGCUGGGGGACACAAAACGAUCACAAAGACUGCGAAGCAUUCAGCAUGGAAUCAGUUGCAAGGUUCUGAGCACGGCCUGACAAAGUCCCCUCAAACACAGUCCAGAAAGCCAGAGAUACACUG
rnacentral:lncRNA from 1 species